rnacentral:lncRNA from 1 species
AUGGCCGUAACACAGGUCCAGUUAUUUUGAGUUUAUACUUGCCUAGCAACCAUAUUCUCAUUCCUCAAAAUGAUGAGUAUGAAGAUCUGUCCAAGGACAGAAAUUAAGUUGGGGUCCAAGUAACUUUGCCAAUUGCAGUUAAUUAUUCAUCAGUUCCUAAACAGACAGAUGUUGAAGAGUGGACUUCUUAGAAUGAGGAUGCGCCCACAGGUGUAAAGACCGAGGGUGAGAAUGGAAUGAGGCAGUACAACAGAACACUUUACAACAACUGGAACCGACUAUUUUAAGGAUGUGACACCAACUGUAAGGAAAACUCAGAAAAUUGUUAUUGAGAAGAGACAAUGAUCAUUUUGCCAUCUCAGGAAAUAGGUUAAUAGACUGGCAGCUACACAAGAUAUGCCUUUUACUCAUCAGUCACCUGAUGUAGGUGACUUAGCUACUUGGCAAGAAAAUACCAACGCAUGGGAAGAAGAUGCAGUCUGGCAAGAAGUAGUUUGGAGGCAGCAGAAAACAGCAGACAGAAAAGAAAGGAGUAGAACAAAA